rnacentral:rRNA from 1 species
CCUGGUGUAGCGGUGAAAAUGCGCAGAUAUCAGGAAGAACACCCGUGGCUAAGGCGGCUCUCUAGUACGGUACUGACGCUGAGACGCGAAAGCAUGGGGAGCGAACAGGAUUAGAUACCCUGGUAGUCCAUGCCGUAAACGUUGGGAACUAGGUGUGGGUCUCAUUCCACGAGAUCCGUGCCGCAGCUAACGCAUUAAGUUCCCCGCCUGGGGAGUACGGCCGCAAGGCUAAAACUCAAAGGAAUUGACGGGGGCCCGCACAAGCGGCGGAGCAUGCGGAUUAAUUCGAUGCAACGCGAAGAACCUUACCAAGGCUUGACAUACACCGGAAUCACUCAGAGAUGGGUGCGUCUUCGGACUGGUGUACAGGUGGUGCAUGGUUGUCGUCAGCUCGUGUCGUGAGAUGUUGGGUUAAGUCCCGCAACGAGCGCAACCCUCGUUCUAUGUUGCCAGCACGUCAUGGUGGGGACUCAUAGGAGACUGCCGGGGUCAACUCGGAGGAAGGUGGGGAUGACGUCAAAUCAUCAUGCCCCUUAUGUCUUGGGCUUCACGCAUGCUACAAUGGCCGGUACAAAGGGCUGCGAAACCGCGAGGUGGAGCGAAUCCCAAAAAACCGGUCUCAGUUCGGAUUGGGGUCUGCAACUCGACCCCAUGAAGUCGGAGUCGCUAGUAAUCGCAGAUCAGCAACGCUGCGGUGAAUACGUUCCCGGGCCUUGUACACACCGCCCGUA